UAGGGAAUCUUCCGCAAUGGACGAAAGUCUGACGGAGCAACGCCGCGUGAGUGAAGAAGGAUUUCGGUUCGUAAAACUCUGUUGUUAGGGAAGAAAAAAUGUAUAGUAACUAUAUACAAAAGAGACGGUACCUAACCAGAAAGCCACGGCUAACUACGUGCCAGCAGCCGCGGUAAUACGUAGGUGGCAAGCGUUGUCCGGAAUUAUUGGGCGUAAAGCGCGCGCAGGUGGUUUAGAAAGUCUGAUGUGAAAGCCCACGGCUCAACCGUGGAGGGUCAUUGGAAACUAAUAAACUUGAGUGCAGGAGAGAAAAGUGGGAUUCCUAGUGUAGCGGUGAAAUGCGUAGAGAUUAGGAGGAACACCGGUGGCGAAAGCGGCUUUUUGGCCUGCAACUGACACUGAGGCGCGAAAGCGUGGGGAGCAAACAGG
rnacentral:rRNA from 1 species